GACGAACGCUGGCGGCGUGCUUAACACAUGCAAGUCGAACGGAAAGUCCCGUCUUUUUUGGGGUGGUCGGAUUACGGAGUAAGAAGUAACACGUAGGUAGCCUACCAUUAACUGUGGGAGUACUUCAUACACCUGGGGCUGAUACCUGAUAGCAACUUCUGCUGCGUAGGGGGUUUUGGAAAAUUUCGUCGGUUGGGGAUGGAAUCGCGGCUUAUCAGCUGGUUGGUGGGGGGGUGGCUUACCAAGGCUUUGACGGGGAGCCGGCCUGAGAGGGUGACCGGAGACACUCGGACUGAGAGACGCCGCCGACUCCUACGCGAGGCAGAAGUGGGGAAUAUUGCACAAUGGGCGGAAGCGCGAUGCAGAAACGCCGCGCGCGGGAUAAGGGCCUUCGGGGUGUAAAAACCUUUCGCCUGUGACGAAGAGUGAGUGACGGUAAUGGGUAAAGAAGCACCGGCUAACUACGUG
rnacentral:rRNA from 1 species